rnacentral:tRNA from 1 species
CCUGAUGGCUCAGACGGUAAAGCGUCUGCCUGCAAUGCGGGAGACCUGGGUUCCAUCCCUGGGUCAGGA